rnacentral:rRNA from 1 species
UACAGAGGAUGCGAGCGUUAUCCGGAUUUAUUGGGUUUAAAGGGUGCGUAGGCGGGAUGCCAAGUCAGCGGUAAAAAUGCGGUGCUCAACGCCGUCGAGCCGUUGAAACUGGCGUUCUUGAGUGGGCGAGAAGUAUGCGGAAUGCGUGGUGUAGCGGUGAAAUGCAUAGAUAUCACGCAGAACUCCGAUUGCGAAAGCAGCAUACCGGCGCCCUACUGACGCUGAGGCACGAAAGCGUGGGUAUCGAACAGG